AAAUGAAUAGACGGGGACCCGCACAAGCAGCGGAGCGUGUGGUUUAAUUCGAUGCAACGCGAAAAACCUUACCUGGGUUUGACAUGUACGUAGUAGUGAAGGGAAACUGGAACGACUCUUCGGAGAGCGUACACAGGUGCUGCAUGGCUGUCGUCAGCUCGUGUCGUGAGAUGUUGGGUUAAGUCCCGCAACGAGCGCAACCCGCGUCGUUAGUUACAAGUGUCUAGCGAGACUGCCGGUAUCAAGCCGGAGGAAGGUGCGGAUGACGUCAAGUCAGCAUGGCCUUUAUGUCCAGGGCUACACACACGCUACAAUGGGCGGUACAGAGGGAAGCAAAGGGGCGACCUGGAGCGAAUCCCAUCAAAGCCGUUCGUAGUUCGGAUUGUAGGCUGCAACCCGCCUGCAUGAAGCUGGAGUUGCUAGUAAACGCAGGUCAGCAUUACUGCGUUGAAUACGUUCCCGGGUCUUGUACACACCGCCCGU
rnacentral:rRNA from 1 species